rnacentral:lncRNA from 1 species
CAAAGGUACUAAGUAGCAGGGGUAGAAAUCAAACCCAGACAAUGGGGCUUAAGCUUGCUUCUCAAUCCACUGGGAGUGGUUCUCAGACUGAAAUUACCUGGUUGGCUCCAGGCUCUGGCCAUCUUUCUGGAUCUUUCUUCAGGCAUCUGGCAUGUUGUCCAAAGCCAGUUACACAGCUGAGCCCAAAGUGAAGGGGCAUGGAAAAAUAUUCCACCCACUAUGAGGCCAUGGCAGGCAUGUCGAUGCAGAGAGGGCUAAAUAAUUGGAGCCAAUCAUUCCAUCUCCCACAGGCAGCUCACAUGUCAUAAAUAUAACUGUGCUGAGGCCACUGUGGGAAGGACAGGGUCACGUCACUAACCUCACAGUCCAACAAACACCCCAAGCUCUGGUUCCUCCAUCCCCUCCUUCUUCUCCUUCCUGGUCCCAUCCUGCAAAUCCCCUCCCUGUUCCUCCUGUUGGGUCAUUCCACCUCCACUCAGACCCAUGGAGAGCUCAGCUUUUGUCCUGAGAGGAACUUGAGGAAAUGUUUCCCUGAUCUCAUUACAUGUCGAUUAUUUCUGACCAUGUUUUAGGUCCCUGGGCUCUAUCUUUCCCCAGCCACCCAGCAAGCUUCUGGGCUCUGAUCCCAAUUAAGAGCAGUAAAGCAUGAAGAAUGGCUAGGCCUUCAGGGGAAAAAAUUUGAAAAGAUCUUCAUUGCUUUAAACAUUAUGUGGGCUGACUCACCCUGCAUCCCUAAAUUUAUGACUGUGGUCUCCACAAAAUAGGAGCAAAAGGAUGCUGACCUUAUACCCCAGCCGGACACCUUCCACCCUUAUUCCUGCAGCCCACCUACAGCUUGCCCCCAACUAACCAGCCAGGGCUGGACCACAGAGUCAGGGUGGCAGUGUAGGUGAAACUCAGCACUUCCAAGUCUGGAUGCAGGUCCUGGCUCUGCCACUUAGAGGCUGACUGUGCCUGGAUAAGUCUCUUACCCUCCCAGGAUCCCACUCGUUGCUGGGGUGAUACCCACUAGGUAGAGAUGUUAUGGAAAGUGCAUCUAAGAAAUAGCACCAGCGGAGGUGCCUCGAAACCUGAAAAGCACCACACCAAUGCGAGGCACUGUUCUUCCUGUAUGCUGAGUUCAAGAAAUGAGGCUGAUUUCAAAACUUACUCGUAGUAAGUUUCUAACUAGAAAGGAGAUCCACUGUCACAAAAAACACGUCUCAUCCCCAAGCCAAAUAAAAUGGGUUUCUGGCUGGGCCCUGCUGGUGGCAUGUGAUGGGGCUCCUGCCUGUCUGGCAGAGCUGACCAAGAGGGCGGGCUCCACUCUCCACUCCCCAGCCUCUGGGUCUUGGGAGUGCAGGGGGCCAGGCAGCUGCAGGCAGGAGGGCAGGAGGAUUUGAGCAGCUGGGCUAAGGUCAGGCACAGAGGCUUGGGCUCAGCAGACAGCCAAAUGCUCGGCCCAGCUGCUACUGCCUCUUUCUGGGACCUGUGCAGGAGGCAGAUGCUGGCUGCCAGGCUGGCGGGCUCCCCUCCACAGCUGCAAGGCCACCUGGGCCCAGGGGUCUGCUCUUCCCUCUCCUCCUGCUGAAUGGCAUUCUUUCCUUUUCUUUCUCUGUCUCCUCACUCUCCCUUUCCUUCUAUUCCUUUUCUCCCUCAUCUCUUUGUGUCUUCAUUUCUGUCUUUGUCUUAUCCUAUGUCUCUCUUCUUUGUAUUUUUUCCCUCCCUCUCUCAGUUUCUUGGCCUCUCUUCAUCUCUCUGUCUCUGGGUUAAAAGUUGUAGGAAAAGGAUAGAAGGUGGGGCCCAAGAGGAAUCCCAGAUGAAACUGAGCUGAGCUCCUACUACGAUUUCAAUGUCUGUGUUUCCCCAAAAUUUAUAUGUCGAUCCCUAAUCUCCAGUGCAAUAGUAUUAGGAGGUGGGGCCUUUGGAAAGUGACUAGGUCAUGAGAGUGGAGCCCUCAUGAAUGCAACCAUAAGAGAGGCCUGAGGGAACUGUUUGCCCCUUCUGCCAUGUGAGGUCAUAGCUACAAGGCGCUGUCUAUGAAUGUAUGAACAAGAAAGUGGGCUGUCAUCAGACAUCACACCUGCCACCACCUUGAUCUUGAACUUCCAGCCUCCAGAACUGUGAGUAAUAACUUUCUGUUGUCUAUAAGCCACCCAGUCUAUAGUACUUUGUUAUAGUAACCUGAACAGACUAGGACAGAUCCCAUCCUGUCCCAAUCAAGAGAGAUUCAGGAGGGUGUCUGGAAAUAGGUUCAACUUUGGAGUUGGGAGCAACACAGAUCUAUGGACUCUUUAAAGACAUCCUCAAAGAAUGAAGCCAGGCCCCUGCACUUGCUCCUGGGACACAGGAAGCCCCACAGUAUUCAGUUCUCACUGAUACCAUAAGGACUCUCUCAUCAACAAACAUUCUUUGGGGCUUUUCUAAGUCCAGAGUGUGUGCUGGGGCUGGGGGAUGAGGAGGGAUGAGGCAGGGGCCCUGCUCUGACAGAGCUCCCACAUGCAGGGCAGGAGACAGUUAAAUGAGCAACUACAUAGUUAGAUGUGCCCUAUAAAUGGUAUCCAACGGGUAGGGCCAGGACAGAAGUGGAGCCACUUACUCACACUGGAGAGGCAAUGUUGAAGCUGAGCCUAGAAUUAGUUAGAGGAGUUUUAUAGGCCAUAAAGAAGAAUCUGCCUGGGAAGCAUGGACAUUUUCUCCCAUCUAGGUGCAGAGGAGCAAGGGAGUAUGGCAGAGGAUGACACGGGAAAGGGGCCUGAAGUCCCAUCAUGCAGUAAGGACUUUGUAAGGCAGAGGUAAUGGGUAGCCCUCAAAUGCUGGGAGCCAUAGGGCUGUGGCGGGGAGGCCCUUGUCCAUCUGUGAAAUGGGAAAAUGAUCAUUUCCCUCUCCCCCUCCCUUCCACGGAGCAGGAGAAAUGAAUAAAGAGGCUGUGCCGCCAUUGCCGUUGGCCAAGCAGAAAAGGGAGGGCGUGGGCUUGGCUCUCGAUGCUGGGAAAGGGCCUCAUUAUGAGCUGGUUUCAUUCAUAAAGGAGGUUGUCAUGGACCACACAAUGGGGCUUAGUUUCUAAGUUAAGAGGAAAACCUAAUUUUAAAGUUGCUUCUUCUGUGACUGGGAGGAGGAGGUGGUGGCUGUGGGGCCAAAGAACAGAAUAUUAGCGAAGGAUGAAAUAAAAGUGGUGCCUUUGGCAAUCUGACUUUGUCCCAGCUUUGGGGCCAUUCCCCUGUCCACUGAGCCUGCCCUGCUAUGUCUAUCCUCGCCCAGGCAUGCACCCAGAGCUUUACCUCCCUCCCUGCUCCAAAAGGGCUCUAAGGUAUGAAGAAUGAAGAGGUAGCCAAAGCUAUCAUUGUACAAGUGGGGAAACUGAGGACAAGAUGGGGGAAGAUUGUUGCCCAAGUUCACAGAAUAUGCUAGAGCUAGUUCUGUGAUGCACAGAUGCAUCUGUCACCUUCAGGGGUAAUGUCACUCCUGGCUCCCUUUUGGGGUUGGAGU